AUUCCUCUGCAAUCGGGAAGGAACGAGAUGCAAGGGGAAUGAUCCACAGAAAAGAGGGCGAUAUGAGAGCAAGAAUGCUCACCGAUGGCGAUGAGAGAGCAGGACCCGAUGCUGUUCUGGAUGACGAUUCGGGCACCGUGGCCGAGAAACUUGAUCUAUCUAGUCUUGUAUACCUCGGCUUCGGCCCUGGCUUCCCUCCUGCAACCCCCGUCGCCAUGGGUGGAGAUCGGUUCUGCCUCGUCGGAGCUCGGGCAUCGUUCUCCGGAGAGUGAAUCCGGAGGGCGAGGGAGGAGAAGAGUUUUUGGAGCCAUGGGAGCGGAGAGAGGACCGAGGGGAUUCAAAAGGCUUGGAGUUGGGACGAAC
rnacentral:lncRNA from 1 species